UACGUAGGUGGCAAGCGUUGUCCGGAUUUACUGGGCGUAAAGAGCGCGCAGGCGGUCAGAUAAGUCGCAUGUGAAAGCCCCCGGCUCAACUGGGGAGGGGCAUUCGAUACUGUUCGACUCGAAGGCAGGAGAGGGAAGUGGAAUUCCCGGUGUAGUGGUGAAAUGCGUAGAUAUCGGGAGGAACACCAGUGGCGAAGGCGACUUCCUGGCCUGUUCUUGACGCUGAGGCGCGAAAGCUAGGGGAGCAAACGGG
rnacentral:rRNA from 1 species